rnacentral:rRNA from 1 species
GAUGAACGCUAGCGGCAGGCCUAAUACAUGCAAGUCGAGGGGUAGAGAGAGCUAGCUCUCUUGAGACCGGCGCACGGGUGCGUAACGCGUAUGCAACCUACCUUUAUCUGGGGGAUAGCCCGAAGAAAUUCGGAUUAACACCGCAUAAAAUCACAGAACGGCAUCGUUCAAUGAGCAAAUAUUCAUAGGAUAGAGAUCGGCAUGCGUGCCAUUAGUUAGUUGGAGAGGUAACGGCACACAAAGACCGCGAUGGCUAGGGGAUCUGAGAGGAUGGCCCCCCACACUGGUACUGAGGCACGGACCAGACUCCUACGGGAGGCAGCAGUAAGGAAUAUUGGUCAAUGGAGGCAACUCUGAACCAGCCAUGCCGCGUGCAGGAAGACAGCCCUCUGGGUCGUAAACUGCUUUUAUUCGGGAAUAAACCUGCUUACGUGUAAGUAGCUGAAUGUACCGAAGGAAUAAGGAUCGGCUAACUCCGUGCCAGCAGCCGCGGUAAUAC